UCGGGAAUUUUGCGCAAUGGACGAAAGUCUGACGCAGCAACGCCGCGUGAGGGAUGAAGGCCUUCGGGUUGUAAACCUCUUUUAUCAGGGAAGAUGAUGACGGUACCUGAUGAAUAAGUCACGGCUAACUACGUGCCAGCAGCCGCGGUAAUACGUAGGUGACAAGCGUUGUCCGGAUUUACUGGGCGUAAAGAGCGCGCAGGCGGUCGUUCAAGUCGAGUGUGAAAGCCCCCGGCUCAACUGGGGAGGGUCAUUCGAUACUGAUCGACUCGAAGGCAGGAGAGGGUAGUGGAAUUCCCGGUGUAGUGGUGAAAUGCGUAGAUAUCGGGAGGAACACCAGUGGCGAAGGCGACUACCUGGCCUGUUCUUGACGCUGAGGCGCGAAAGCUAGGGGGAGCAAACGGGAUUAGGAUACCCCCGGGUAGUCCCUAGCCCGUAAACGAUGGACACUAGGUGUUGGUGGUAUCAACCCCGCAGUGCCGAAGCUAACGCAUUAAG
rnacentral:rRNA from 1 species